rnacentral:misc_RNA from 1 species
GAAGGGUCGAGAUCAAGGAUCCGUCAGCUAUAAAUAGGCUCGAAGGCCAUUCUCUCAGUCUGCUGGGCCUUUGCCAUUCAGAUCUCUCACCUCUCCCGAGAUGCUUGCUUGAAGGUUCUCUAUCUUUCUAUAUGUGAUAUCCGAGGGUUGUGCUUGCUGGCCAAGGUCUUGAUCUAUUUGGAGUUUUUGUUGAUUCGAGAUAUUGAGAUGCUGCUCUUAUGUCCGAAUUUGCGAUGCUGAAUCUUGAUGCUGUCUGAGUUCUUUUC